ACCGAAGUGGCGAAAUAGGUAGACGCAAUUGACUCAAAAUCAAUUAUCUUAAGUGGUGUGCCGGUUCGAUUCCGGCCUUCGGUA
rnacentral:tRNA from 1 species